ACAGGUGGUCAGGUAGAGAAUACCAAGGCGCUUGAGAGAACUCGGGUGAAGGAACUAGGCAAAAUGGUGCCGUAACUUCGGGAGAAGGCACGCUGAUAUGUAGGUGAAGCGACUUGCUCGUGGAGCUGAAAUCAGUCGAAGAUACCAGCUGGCUGCAACUGUUUAUUAAAAACACAGCACUGUGCAAACACGAAAGUGGACGUAUACGGUGUGACGCCUGCCCGGUGCCGGAAGGUUAAUUGAUGGGGUUAGCGGUAACGCGAAGCUCUUGAUCGAAGCCCCGGUAAACGGCGGCCGUAACUAUAACGGUCCUAAGGUAGCGAAAUUCCUUGUCGGGUAAGUUCCGACCUGCACGAAUGGCGUAAUGAUGGCCAGGCUGUCUCCACCCGAGACUCAGUGAAAUUGAACUCGCUGUGAAGAUGCAGUGUACCCGCGGCAAGACGGAAAGACCCCGUGAACCUUUACUAUAGCUUGACACUGAACAUUGAGCCUUGAUGUGUAGGAUAGGUGGGAGGCUUUGAAGUGUGGACGCCAGUCUGCAUGGAGCCGACCUUGAAAUACCACCCUUUAAUGUUUGAUGUUCUAACGUUGGCCCGUAAUCCGGGUUGCGGACAGUGUCUGGUGGGUAGUUUGACUGGGGCGGUCUCCUCCUAAAGAGUAACGGAGGAGCACGAAGGUUGGCUAAUCCUGGUCGGACAUCAGGAGGUUAGUGCAAUGGCAUAAGCCAGCUUGACUGCGAGCGUGACGGCGCGAGCAGGUGCGAAAGCAGGUCAUAGUGAUCCGGUGGUUCUGAAUGGAAGGGCCAUCGCUCAACGGAUAAAAGGUACUCCGGGGAUAACAGGCUGAUACCGCCCAAGAGUUCAUAUCGACGGCGGUGUUUGGCACCUCGAUGUCGGCUCAUCACAUCCUGGGGCUGAAGUAGGUCCCAAGGGUAUGGCUGUUCGCCAUUUAAAGUGGUACGCGAGCUGGGUUUAGAACGUCGUGAGACAGUUCGGUCCCUAUCUGCCGUGGGCGCUGGAGAACUGAGGGGGGCUGCUCCUAGUACGAGAGGACCGGAGUGGACGCAUCACUGGUGUUCGGGUUGUCAUGCCAAUGGCACUGCCCGGUAGCUAAAUGCGGAAGAGAUAAGUGCUGAAAGCAUCUAAGCACGAAACUUGCCCCGAGAUGAGUUCUCCCUGAGACUUAGAGUCUCCUGAAGGAACGUUGAAGACGACGACGUUGAUAGGCCGGGUGUGUAAGCGCAGCGAUGCGUUGAGCUAACCGGUACUAAUGAACCGUGAGGCUUAACCUU
rnacentral:rRNA from 1 species